rnacentral:rRNA from 1 species
GACGAACGCUGGCGGCGUGCUUAACACAUGCAAGUCGAACGGAAAGGCCCUGCUUUUGUGGGGUGCUCGAGUGGCGAACGGGUGAGUAACACGUGAGUAACCUGCCCUUGACUUUGGGAUAACUUCAUGAAACUGGGGCUAAUACCGGAUAGGAGCUCCUGCUGCAUGGUGGGGGUUGGAAAGUUUCGGCGGUUGGGGAUGGACUCGCGGCUUAUCAGCUUGUUGGUGGGGUAGUGGCUUACCAAGGCUUUGACGGGUAGCCGGCCUGAGAGGGUGACAGGCCACAUUGGGACUGAGAUAAGGCACAGACUCAGACGGGAGGCAGCAGUGGGGAAUAGUGCACAAUGGGCGGAAGCAUGAUGCAGCAACGCCGCGUGCGGGAUGACGGCCUUCGGGUUGUAAACCGAUUUCGCCUGUGACGAAGCGUGAGUGACGGUAAUGGGUAAAGAAGCACCGGCUAACUACGUG